AUGGCGCGCAUAAACUUUGGUGUCAUCACCCUGAUACCCAAAGUAGUUGGGACGGACAUUCGACAAUUUAGGCCUAUCAUAGUUAUCAAUGUUCUUGAGCGCACCUUCUCUAAAGUAUGCGUGACUAGACUCGCAUCGGUAGCUAAGAGGAUGAAUCGCCCACUUCAUAUAGCAUUCCUGAAGGGGAGACAGAUCCAUGACGGUAUUUUGUCCCUUCACGAGAUUGUCCAUGAGGUGCGAUCGUGCAGACAUAAGGGUGUCUUUCUCAAGCUGGACUUCCAGAAAGCCUAUGAUUGGCUAGACUGGACGUUCCUGCGGCUAGUCAUGCAGCGCAGAGGCUUCAAGGAUAGAUGGUGCAACUAG
rnacentral:rRNA from 1 species